rnacentral:tmRNA from 2 species
GGGAGCGACUUGGCUUCGACAGGAGUAAGUCUGCUUAGAUGGCAUGUCGCUUUGGGCAAAGCGUAAAAAGCCCAAAUAAAAUUAAACGCAAACAACGUUAAAUUCGCUCCUGCUUACGCUAAAGCUGCGUAAGUUCAGUUGAGCCUGAAAUUUAAGUCAUACUAUCUAGCUUAAUUUUCGGUUAUUUUUGAUAGUGUAGCCUUGCGUUUGACAAGCGUUGAGGUGAAAUAAAGUCUUAGCCUUGCUUUUGAGUUUUGGAAGAUGAGCGAAGUAGGGUGAAGUAGUCAUCUUUGCUAAGCAUGUAGAGGUCUUUGUGGGAUUAUUUUUGGACAGGGGUUCGAUUCCCCUCGCUUCCACCA